rnacentral:rRNA from 1 species
AUACAUAGGGGGCAAGCGUUAUCCGGAAUUAUUGGGCGUAAAGCGUGCGUAGGCGGUUUAUUAAGUCUGAUGUUAAAUCCCACAGCUCAACUGUGGGCUGCCAUUGGAAACUGGUAGACUUGAGUGCGGUAGAGGUAAGUGGAAUUCCAAGUGGAGCGGUGGAAUGCGUAGAUAUUUGGAGGAACACCAGUGGCGAAGGCGGCUUACUGGGCCGUUACUGACGCUGAGGCACGAAAGCGUGGGGAGCAAACAGGAUUAGAUACCCUAGUAGUCCACGCUGUAAACGAUGACAACUAAAUAUUGCCGCGAGGCAGUGUUGAAGCUAACGCAUUAAGUUGUCCGCCUGGGGAGUACGGUCGCAAGCCUGAAACUUAAAGGAAUUGACGGGG